rnacentral:rRNA from 1 species
UACGUAGGGUGCAAGCGUUAAUCGGAAUUACUGGGCGUAAAGCGCGCGUAGGUGGUUUGUUAAGUUGGAUGUGAAAUCCCCCGGGCUCAACCUGGGAACUGCAUUCAAAAACUGACAAGCUAGAGUAUGGUAGAAGGUGGUGGAAUUUUCCUGUGUAGCGGUGAAAAUGCGUAGAUAUAGGAAGGAACACCAGUGGCGAAGGCGACCACCUGGACUGAUACUGACAUGAGGUGCGAAAAGCUGGGGGAGCAAAC